AUUCCAUUCUUUGUACAAACGCAAGAGGGCGAAUCAUCGCAGCUUUGGCGGAAGGCUUGGUCAGCGAUUGUGGCGAGCAGCAAGACGAUCGAGGUCAAAGGGCGGGAGUUCUUGCCUUGGGCGAUUCAAUGGCCGCGAUUGCUCGUUCUUGGUAGCUCUCUCUGGCAACACUGGCACUAGCAUUUCUUCGUACAUCUUUUCACUGUGGCUUUGGCGGUGUUCGCUACGAAACAUCAUGGAUUCUUAUCGAUGGAAUGAAAUGUAGAUGGGACCUCGCACGGAUCUCCACAAAAACUUUAGAGCAGGAGUGAUGUGAAAGCAUCUUCUUCGAUCACUGCUCACUUUUCUCCAGGCGAUAAACAAUUGUGUGUCACACGAUGCGGGACGAAGAUCCCGAUCAAGCCACCAAGGUGGUGAUCGAGAUGGCCAACGACGAUGGAGUUUCAGUGUCUAGCGAUCGUCCUCUCCAUCGCACCGAGUCCAUUGCUUCGGGUGGAGGCGAGAAGAGAUCCACUGUGGUCACGGCCAUCAAAGUUAAGACUGCUUUCACUCGUCUCGCCAGCACUGUCAGGAAUCACAACUCUCCAAAGGCCACCAAGUUUGAUCGAGCGAAGCAAGCAAAGUUUUC